AAAAUAAAAUGUGCUUAUUGCGAGUUUUUUUAUCGUGUCAUGUUUAGCGCAACUCUAAUCGUGCUGUGCUUAGCCCAUCUCUAAUUAUACCAUGCUUUUAAGGCUCGCAUGUCUAAAAUUUUAAGCACGGCCUGGCCCAUAUGCUUGCCGUGCCGUACCGUGUGCCCUACCGAAACGUGCUCGUGUUGUGCCACAUGUCGUCCGGCUCAUUGCCCAUCUUUAGAAUAGGGGCUUCAUGUGGUCAAAUAAGCAAAUUUGGCAUUGGUUAUUAUUGAGACAGAUUCUCAUGAGGCGCCAGACCUUGUUAACAAUAAAAUAUGAGUGUUGAUUUCCCAAAAUUCUAUUUUCCAGCAUGUCCAUAGACCUAGUAAUGAGGCAGCUCAUAAGCUUGCUAAAUAUGCCACUAGGAGUGGAGUAUCCAAUGUCUGGGUGGAGUUCUUCCCAACUGACAUUGUUUGUAUUCUCAAUUUUGUUAAUUAAUGAAUCUUUUCUUCUUAAAAAAAUGACAUAAAAAUGAGCGUUGGAUUUUGAUUCAAAAAUCGAACAGAUGUGGAUAAAUGUGCAUUAAAUAAAAACUAUAUGGCGGCCAACCUAUUGUAAGAAUUACUCUUUAACUUGUUGAAAUGAUUUAAAAAUGAAAUGAUGUCUAAGGCUUUAAAAGAAAAAUGCAGAUAACUAUGGGAGUAAGGAUAAAACAACAUUUUAGGACUCUGUAAGCAUGUUUGUGAAAAAUGAAUUAUUUUAGAAGACCUAAAAGUGAUUUAAAAAAAUUAAAAAUUAAUUUUAGUAUUUAGUGCAUUUUUUUUUAAAUUUGCUUUUGG
rnacentral:lncRNA from 1 species